UGAAGGCCUGAGAGAGCUGGAGAAGCAAAUAGCCUGGAUAAGCCCAGAUGUGAGGUCCAUUCUACAGAUUUGCUCACCUUCUUGAUGGUAACAAAUUCAUUUUCUGCAUUUGUCCGCUUGUUGAUCUCGUCCUCAUACCUACAAGGAAAUCAGAGGGAUUUCGAUAUUUGGAGAAGGUCUUGCAUGUUCUUCAAUUCCGAAUCCAUCCUAGACUGGUCAUUCUUCAGUUGGUCCACUCUCCUUCUAAGAUUGUUGAUGUAGGACUCAAAGUAGGGUUCUAAGCUGUGGGUCCGAGUGGAGGUGUCUACCUGCUGCAGCAGCUCCCAUUUUGUUUGCAGCACCUGGUUCUGCUGCUCCAAGAACCGCACCUGAGAACACAAGCCGCCAUUACUGACUGAUGCAGAAAUGGAGUCCACUGGCCACUGAGUGCCAUAAGCUACCCCACAGUG